AAGAAACUCCAGAACCCAAAGCAAAUUUUCCUGCCCGGUACAAGGAGGACAUAUUUUCACUGACUGUUUCCAUGGAAAUAAAUCGGAGGCAUUACUUUUGGAGCAACUAUGCGGCCCAAGAUAAUUUGUCUUGACUCAGUGUGAUCCAGGCAAGCCAAAAGGUUGCACACCCAUGAAAUAAGCCAAGAAAGUACAUGGACUGCAAGAAAAUUCUUUUUGGUCUACUGACAUCCCUGUUUAAUUAAUAAGUGCUGUCACACAUUCAGCAAGCACGCAUAUCGCUCUUGGUCUUGGUAAGAGCCACUCUCUUUUCCAGUGCUGUGAGUCAUUCAGUCUUCACAAGGUUUUGUCCUCUUCACCAGUCACAAAAAAAUAUUUGUUUGGAAUUUGGUAAACUGAAGUGGAAGUGUCCUCGCCGCUGAGAAUUUACACUGGGACCAGAAUGAUGCCUGCUCUUCCCUCACACAAGGAUGCAGAGCCUAUCGAAGGAAGGGAAUUACAAAAUGACAAGGAUAUGUCCGUACAGUGGGCUCUGCUGUUGUCUCUGAUCUCUCAGUGAUGGAACAUCAGGAUUCCCCAAGAUGUGUACAGACAACUAAUGCCACCCGCAUGCUGGAAUUCGAAAGUUUAUUUUAGUUUUGAUUGUAGUUGUUUUUGUUUUUUUCUCUCUAUCUGGAACAGUGGUUUUCUUAUUACCUGCCAGCCUACUAACAGGACAAAUCUCAGUCGCAGACAGCAGGAUUACAAAACUGAAGUUGCCAUUGUGCUUUUAGGAUCAUAUGAGCCACUUGGUGCAGUACACACAGAGCAGCUAAAAUAACCAGAAGCAGAGAAGUCAGUGAACAAGGGGUGAUGCCAUCUCUGAGACACAAAGUUAUAACAGAGUAAGCUGACAUUAUAAAGUGGCUGGAGAAGCUGUGUACUUCCUACAGCAGUAGAGGAGCAUGAAGUGCAAUCCUCCAUCAUUUUUGAGGAGAGAAACUCCGUCUGCAAGCUGUGAAAGCAAACUGGUCGUGUGAUUGCUGUCUGAAGGAGUAUCCUUUGAUACCUAUUGAUUCAAUUGAUUUCAUUUUGUGGAAUGGGUUGGAAAGGGCUGAUCUUUGUCUUCUGUCACAAGGACUGGGAAUUAAAUCAUUCUGUCGCCUUGGGCUCUGAUCAUGUUAAUUCCACAGCCAACAGGCAAACAUGGGCAUGGUGCCUGGCACAGUGGUGAUCUGUACUGUCAUUCAGAAGAUGAAACUGUGCGACAUUCACUAGGAGCCAACUGAAAAGUCACCGGAGGCACCCUGUGGCCUUUUCUUUUGAUGCAUAAACAGAUUUUACUGGAAGGGGGGAGAGUUGCCCAUUGCACCAGAUCAACUCUGCUUUUUCACAUCACUGCUUGGUUGCUGAUGUUGGUCCCUGGCACAGGGCUCUUCAAUUUUCAUCAGACUACUAAGAAUCCCCUCAGUAUUUCAAUGAGAGCAUUUAGGAUACUAAGAUAUAUCUGGUUUGCUUUGGAGUUUUUAUUGUUGUUGCUGAUUUUUUCCAAUCUGUGGAAGGAACUGUCACUAGGAAACCACUGUGGUACGGGAACUAUAUGAAUUCUGCAGUCUUCUUCAUAUCUCUUUAUCAAGUGAUAGAUACAGCCUGUCCACUCCAUUCUUUCCCUUUUUCCUAUUCUGUGACAGCAAAUAAAGACACCAGCUAAAGCCGGUUGUGGAGAUUAGGGCUGUUUUCAGCUCACCUUCUUAGCAAAACAAGGCUUACAUGCUUACUCUGCAUGUAAUCUUAAUGUCUUAUGAACACUUCUAGCCAAUCUCUCCCAAACAUAUCAGAAAAGCUGAGUUACCAGCACACUUACUUCCUACAUUUUCUUCCAGUUCAGUCAAAAGGAGCAGCCCAAAAAAUCAUCAGCAGCAUUUUUCUGCUGUAAGUGGGAAAGGUAGAAAAACAGCAGGAGAACUUUAUAUUUGCACAAGGAGAUAAUAUAAAUCUCACUUUCAAUCACUUAGUAUCCAUUCACUGAGAGAUGCACAUCCACAAGAAAGGAGGUGCGCAGCAACCCACGUUUUCUUAUGUGAAUACUUGUCAACUAGUAGACAAAUCAAACAAGUCAGUUGGUUCUUUGCAGGCUUACACUUGUGGCAUUGAACUUAAAUCAUUCCUAUUUCUGAAUUCUGGUCCUGAGUUUAGGUAAUGAUUUCUUUCUCAGUAGUGACUUUCUGUACUGGUUGAAACAUAAACUACUUAAAUGACUGUACUCAAUACUUAUUUAUUGUCUCUUGCAGAAUUAUCUUUCCCAAACCUUUCUUGAACUAUAAUGUUAAUCUGGGGAGCUCUGGAUGUAGUCCAUCCUGGAUGUCUGCUCCAGAUAAUACAAAAAAACCCUGAAUUUUUCAUAAUUCUUUCUAUACAUGCAUGUUGGUUUCUCAGGUAUGUGAUUUAUGGACUCUUUCAGCAUCACUUUCUGCUUUUGAGAAGAUACAGAAAAAAUAGCAGCCCUAAUGCAAGGGGAAGAUGUGAGGAAAAUCAAAAAGCUUUGUGUUCCCAGAGCAGUAAAAAAAUACCUCAAAAUGUUUUUCUUAAGAAAACAGUUUCUGGCAUGACCAGGAUGUUUUCAACUCAACUUUCUUCUACCUUGUUUAUACAGGUGAUCAUCAGUUUUCUUCAGCUUCUGGUCUAUCAGUCUCAGAGGAUAUUUACAGAUCGUAUAAUAUUGAAUUAGAAUCAUGGAAGUGUUAAUGUGCAAUAUAUGCAACAGAAUGGUGGCUACAAAUUAACACCAGUGUCCAAUCCUUCAGAAAAAAUAAUAGAAAUAUGCUACUGCUGAGAUUUAAUGCAAAGUGAAUGAAAAGAAACAGUGACAAUACUUCUCCAUGCUUUCAGAAUUAAGAGGAUUCUAACACUAAUCAAAACCUUUCACACAUUCUUUUUUCCCAUGCUGAAAAUGGAUCAAAGUUUGAAAAUACAACUCAGAGAUUAUUAUGUUUGCAUGCGUAUUUUACAAUCUAUAAACAAGACCUUUACUAAGCAAGCAACUUCUCUAUGGAAAAAGUUCAAUUUCCCAUAAAGAAUUCACGGGAAGAUCUGUAUGUUCAAAAUAUACUUUCUAUUUAUUUCACCCCAGAAAUUCAUCUGACCAAUUUCUUUUCCAGGAAGGGGGAUAAGUGAAAACAUAUGCUUGGUCAUUCUGUAUUUUUUUAACUUCUUGAAUUUCAGCAGUAAGGAGAUUAACUUGACUCAGUAUAAACUAGGGAUGGAAAGAUCUUUGAUGCAGCUGUGAAACUUUCUGCUUCUUUCAGAGCUGAAUGAACACAGCAACAGAGACAUCUGCCACAUCUGCUUCUGUUAUAAAGCAUCGAGUAUAUUGAGGAAGAUAAUGCUUGGUCAUGGUACAUGUUAAUAUCACCUACUGACAAAGCAGGGUUUUCUUAUGUUCAGUUAUGUACACUGACCUGGUAUUAAGUGGAAGGAUCACUGCCCUUUUACAACCUUUUGUACUUGUUCAAUAGCUUUUGAUUCUGUUUGGAGAACCCGUUUCUUGUUAAAAACUUGAGCAACCAAAUCCAUCCUCCUUGAGCAUUGCUGCUCAUAUACCACAGAAUCACCAAAUUCUUGUGGGCUUUCCAAAGCCUUCGUGAGCUAAUGGUGGUCUCCCAUGAUUUCCUUCAAAAUCCGCACAACUGUAAUAAGCCAGAUACCUUAGACUUACAAGGACAGCAUUCACUAACAGCUUUGAAAUGUGUAUACCCAUUGCUGCUUUGAAAACAAGGCCAAAACAGCAUUUUAUUUUUACUGAACAUUAUUAGAGAGCUCUCCACUAAGCCUGUCCAGAACUUUUGUAUUAUUUGAGAUGAAACAAGAAGAGGAAGCUUCUUCUCUAGAAAUUUUGUACUAGUGAGGUUUUUUUAUUCAGCUGAACCCAAAAGCAGAAUUUGGAUCAGAGGUUUUAUUGUAAAAUCUCCAUUACUUCCUGUAGAUUUUCCUAUUGCUGUGCAGCCCAAUUGAGCAGAUGGUAUUAUUCAUCUAUUUUUCUUCUUUGAACUGCGACUGUAACUGUCAUUUGUCUUCUGACAGUCUUAUCUUCCUGUUUUUGGUGGGGUUUUUUUUGUUUGUUUGUUUGUUUGUUUUUCCUAAAAUAUUUGGUGAUCUGGUCAAAAGCAUGCUGAGAAAUCGUUACGUGUUACUACCCUGGGUAAAUUGCCUUCCAAGUUCUGCAGGUUUGAGCUCCCUCUGAAGGAUCAGCCAUUUCAUUUAUCAGCUAAAUGAUAUACCUGAUAUAUACUUGUUGCUGGAAUAUACCUGGGAUGGUCUGAGUGACAGUCUUCAUUUCUGGUUUGGUGCAAAGACAGAUUUAACAAGGCAGUUCCUUGCCAAUCAUCAUGUGCAUUAAAGAAGAUGGGACAGAAUGAAGAAUGAAAAUCCUAAGGGAAUCCUAAACAGAGAGACAUAAAUAGGAGUUUAAAGGGUGAAUUGCAUCAUUUGCCCUGCUUACAGGUGUCACUGCAGACCCGGACUGCUAAAUGGGUGCCUUCUUCUGGAUUGAACUCAAAGUAAGCACGGACCAAGGUACAAAAAUAAUCAAAACAAGUUGCUAUUGAAUAGGAUUUGCAAGUGAGGAUUCUUGCAAGCAGAAGGCUGAGGCUGAAAAGUGAAAGCUGCAGAGGCUUUCUGACUUUUUAAGAGAAAAACACUGCCUCAUCUUUUCUCCUGAUACACACUGGUACUCUCUCUGCUCCUCUGCACCUGCAGAAAUGGAUGGAUGCUCCAAGUCUGUUCUGUUUCUCUUGGAAGAACUGUGCUAGACAGCUCAGCAGUCUGCAGGUGCCAGCCAGAGCAUGUCUUGCCAAGCAAAGGAGACUGCUUUGUGCCUCUGAAGGAAGGCUCGGGGCAGGUUUUACACUGGAGAACUUAUCUACAACAUAGAGUUCUUCCUAUGUAAGACAGACAAAUCAUAAGCCAUGCAUCAAAUACUGGUUCAGGGGAGCUCAACGAGUCCUCUCAGAUGAAUACAAAAUUCACCUAAAAAUGGAUUUCCAGAAGAACUGACAAGUUGGUUGUUGUGACACAUGGACUUUUUGCAGGUGGGUAAGGGGCAAGAAAGGACAACGAGAAAGGACACGGCCAAUUCUUAUGUCAGUGUUCUCAAACUGCAACCUUUCUGUUUUGUUUCUUUGCCUCCUAAAUGGCAUUUUUACCUCAUUAAAAUUAAAGUAGAUUUUAAUAUUAAAACAGCUGUUAAAUAAUGUGAAAACAGAAUAAGUUCACCCAGAUUAAAAAUGUAUAUAUGUAUCCUUUUUUUUUUUUUUUUCUUUGCUCCAUUUCUCCAGAUUCUUCCAGGUCAACUCUAACAAAAUCUUUCCCCUACCUCUGUUCUGUCCAUUACUAGGCCAUGAUUUAUUUAGCUCUAAGCCUAUGCUUAAAGGUGCGUCUGAAGCUUUUUCCAACUGCUGAUAUCACAGCGCUGACACUAUGCUGUGACUCUCCUCUGUGACCCUCGUGCUUUCAAAUGUCC
ensembl:lncRNA